rnacentral:rRNA from 1 species
ACGAACGCUGGCGGCGUGGAUAAGACAUGCAAGUCGAACGGGACUUUAUUUGUAGCAAUACAGGUGAAGUUCAGUGGCAUACGGGUGCGUAACACGUGAGCAACAUGCCUUGAAGUGGGGGGGAUAGCUCGUCGAAAGGCGAAUUAAUACCGCAUGUGGUAGCAAUACUAAAGGCCGGGGCAACCCUGGCGCUUCUUGAUUGGCUCGCGGCCUAUCAUGCUAGUUGGUAAGGUAACGGCUUACCAAGGGCUAUGACGGGUAGCUGGUCUGAGAGGACGACCAGCCACACUGGAACUGAGACACGGUCCCAGACACCUACGGGUGGCAGCAGUCGAGAAUUUUUCUCAAUGGGGAAACCCUGAAGGAGCGACGCCGCGUGGAGGAUGAAGGUCUUCGGAUUGUAAACUCCUGUCAUUGGUGAACAAAGCCACGGGUUAACUGCCUUGUGGUCUGCUAGUAGCCGAAGAGGGAAGGGACGGCUAACUCUGUGCCAGCAGCCGCGGUAAUACAGAGGUCCAAGCGUUGUUCGGAUUCAUUGGGCGUAAAGGGUGCGUAGGCGGCAGGGUAAGUUGGAUGUGAAAUCCUGGGGCUUAACCUCAGAAUUGCAUUCAAUACUGCCUUGCUAGAGAGCUGUAGAGGAGACUGGAAUUUACGGUGUAGCAGUGAAAAUGCGUAGAUAUCGUAAGGAACGCCAGUGGCGAAAGGCGAGUCUCAGGGCAGCAUCUGACGCUGAGGCACGAAGGCCAGGGGAGCAAACGGGAUUAGAUACCCCGGUAGUCCUGGCAGUAAACGGUGCGCGUUUGGUGUGGGCGGGUUCGACCCCGUCCGCGCCGUAGUUUAACACGUUAAACCGCGCCGCCUGGGGAAGUACGAUCGCAAGAUUAAAACUCAAAGAAAUUGACGGGGGGGCCCGCACAAGCGGUGGAGUAUGUGGCUUAAUUCGAUGCAACGCGAAGAACCUUACCUAGGCUUGACAUGCAUCUCUAAGUCGGUGAAAGCCGGCGAGUGUAGCAAUACACAAUUUGCACAGGUGCUGGCUGCAUGGCUGUCGUCAGCUCGUGUCGUGAUGGUGUUGGGUUAAGUCCCGCAACGAGCGCAACCCUUGUGAGCUGUUGCUCUAUGGACACAUAGAGAUCUCUGCUCAGACUGCCCUGUGAAACGGGGAGGAAGGUGAGGAUGACGUCAAGUCAGCAUGGCCCUUACGCCUAGGGCUGCACACGUACUACAAUGCUCAGUACAGAAAGAGCCGAACCAGCAAUGGCUAGGAAAAUCAGUAAAACUGAGCCCAGUUCGGAUUGUGGGGCUGGCAACUCGCCCGCAUGAAGGCUGGAAUCGCUAGUAAUGGCGCAUCAGCUACGGCGCCGUGAAUACGUUCCCGGGCCUUGUACACACCGCCCGUCACAUCAUGGAAGUCGCCUGCACCCAAAGAGUUUCCACAUUCGUGUGGGGCUUCAAGGUAUGGGGGUCAGGUAACUGG